AUUGAACGCUGGCGGCAGGCUUAACACAUGCAAGUCGAGCGGGGGAAGGUAGCUUGCUACCGGACCUAGCGGCGGACGGGUGAGUAAUGCUUAGGAAUCUGCCUAUUAGUGGGGGACAACAUCUCGAAAGGGGUGCUAAUACCGCAUACGUCCUACGGGAGAAAGCAGGGGAUCUUCGGACCUUGCGCUAAUAGAUGAGCCUAAGUCGGAUUAGCUAGUUGGUGGGGUAAAGGCCUACCAAGGCGACGAUCUGUAGCGGGUCUGAGAGGAUGAUCCGCCACACUGGGACUGAGACACGGCCCAGACUCCUACGGGAGGCAGCAGUGGGGAAUAUUGGACAAUGGGGGGAACCCUGAUCCAGCCAUGCCGCGUGUGUGAAGAAGGCCUUAUGGUUGUAAAGCACUUUAAGCGAGGAGGAGGCUACUUUAGUUAAUACCUGGAGAUAGUGGACGUUACUCGCGGAAUAAGCACCGGCUAACUCUGUGCCAGCCGCCGCAGUAA
rnacentral:rRNA from 1 species